rnacentral:lncRNA from 1 species
CACGAGAUUUUUAGAUGACAUUUUUUUAAAUAACACUGUCCUUUAGUUAUGAAAAUAUUAAAAACAUUACAAAGGGAGUUUACUUUUGCAUAGGUUGAGCUUGAUCUUGAUUUUCCAAAAGACAUCAAUCGUAGGAAGUUGUGCAUCAAUGCCAUCAAACGUGCGAAUUUGACUCCCACCAAAGACUCAAGAGUUUACCAAGCUCACUUUGAAAAAUCAAUGUUUCUGCAGAAGUCUUCAGAAGGACGGUGGCGUUUGGUACAUAAUGCAAUUCCAACUUUAUUUGAAAAUAUUAAGAAAAAAAACAAAACGAAAGCUUCUGUUUAACCGAAACAGAGACGCAGAAGAACUUCAAAGGAAGCAAAGAAUUCGAAUGUUAGAGUUUCGUAUACUAAAACACAUGGAACAUCAAAUAAGGAAGAUUAUCCUGAUCACGAAGCUCAAACCCCAUUCUCAUCGGACAUUUUUAUACAAGAAUCCCCUGAGAUUGAAGUUUUAAGAUACGUACCAUGCUCUAAUUGUAUGAAUUUAGUAGAGGCAAAUAAAUCUUUAUAUGCAAAAAUACAGCAUCUUCAAGCGAAACUUGCCCGGAACAAGCCUUCAAUAAUGUCAAAUAAAGAAAGCCGUAAAAAGAUAUCGAAAAAGGCUCAGUUUUGUCGCAAAACCUAUAUUGAAGGGUUCUUGAAUGACGAUCAAUUAAGAUGUUUCUCCAAGAAAGGAAAGAACUCUAGAAUCAAUUGGUCAAGUCCAACAGUUAAAAUAGCACUAAAAUUAAGGUGAACAAAUAAAUAGAAUGAAUGAAUUUAAGAUUAUUUUAUGCCUUAUUUUGAAGCUAUGUCCUUUCUUAUUAAUUUGUAAUGGUUUAUUUCACUUUUCAGAUUCGCUUGUGGUUCAUCAGGGUAUGAAUCUCUUCUUCAUCAAGGAUUUCCUUUACUCUCGCGUAGGACAUUGCGCAUAAAAACUGAAGGCAUUUCAUUUGAAAGUGGUAUUUUGAAUGAUGUUUUUAAGUUUUUGACGUUUAAAAUAACGACCUUCAGU